AUUGAACGCUGGCGGCAGGCCUAACACAUGCAAGUCGAGCGGAGCGGCGGACGGGUGAGUAAUGCCUAGGAAUCCGCCUGGCAGUGGGGGAUAAAGUCAGGAAACGGGCGCUAAUAUCGCAUACUAUCAGAUGAGCCUAGGUUGGAUUAGCUAGUUGGUGUGGUAAUGGCUUACCAAGGCGACGAUCCGUAACUGUUCUGAGAGGAUGAUCAGUCACACUGGAACUGAGACGCGGUCCGGACUCCUUCGGGAGGCAGCAGUGGGGAAUGUUGGGCAAUGGGCGAAAGCCUGAUCCAGCCAUGCCGCGUGUGUGAAGAAGGUCUUCGGAUUGUAAAGCUCUUUAAGUUGGGAGGCGUUACCUACUGAGUAAGCACCGGCUAACUUCGUGCCAGCAGCCGCGGUAAUUC
rnacentral:rRNA from 1 species